AACUAACGCUGGCGGCGUGCCUAACACAUGCAAGUCGUACGAGAAAGCCGGCUUCGGCUGGUGAGUAAAGUGGCGCACGGGUGAGUAACGCGUGGAUAAUCUGCCCUUAAGUGUGGAAUAACGUACCGAAAGGUGCGCUAAUACCGCAUAAUGCCUGGCAACACAAGUUGUCCGGCCAAAGAAGGCCUCUGUUUACAAGCUUUCGCUUCAGGAUGAGUCCGCGUACCAUUAGCUUGUUGGUGGGGUAAUGGCCUACCAAGGCGACGAUCAGUAGCCGGCCUGAGAGGGUGAACGGCCACACUGGGACUGAGACACGGCCCAGACUCCUACGGGAGGCAGCAGUGGGGAAUAUUGCGCAAGUGGGGGAAACCCUGACGCAGCGACGCCGCGUGAGCGAAGAAGGCCUUAGGGUCGUAAAGCUCUGUUUUAAGGGACGAAUGUCGCGGGUAAUAAUACGAUCUGCGAAUGACGGUACCUUAAGAGGAAGCCCCGGCUAACUACGUGCCAGCAGCCG
rnacentral:rRNA from 1 species